rnacentral:tRNA from 1 species
GCCGACGUAGCUCAGUUGGUAGAGCAACUGAUUCGUAAUCAGUAGGUCCGCAGUUCGACUCUGCGCGUCGGCA